AUACUACUCCCUCCGUUCCAAAAUUCUUGUCUUAGGUUUAUCUAGAAAUGGAUGUAUCUAAAUAGUAUAACGUGACUAGAUACAUUCAUAUUUAGACAAAUCUAAGACAANNAUUUUGGGACGGAGGGAGUAGUUA
rfam:Hordeum vulgare subsp. vulgare, WGS project CAJW01000000 data, contig: morex_contig_1583514